CCAGGAAGGGGGCGAGACAGAGGACGUGGACAAAAACAAGCAGGGUCAGUACACGAGCAAACUGUGUUUUCAGAGCUGAGGCAAACAGCAGGAUCCGGAACACAGAUCAGAGUCAAAACACGGCUUGGCAUAAAUAGGACAGAGACAAAGUGCUGGCAAAGAAGGACGACGAAAGAGUUGGUACUGCUAUUAAUACUGACUCAGAUGCCGGGGUGGAUGAAGCCAUGGGCGACGAUGUGGAUGCCGAAGAUGUGGUUGCCGACGCCAUGGACCACAGUGUGGUGAAUCAUGAUGCCAUGGACAGCGGUGCCAUGAGUGAUGAUGCCACGAUUAGUCAUGGGUCAGAUGAGAAGUGAUCCAUUUUAUACUGAGAACUUAUGUAGGUACGGGGGAGACAUGUUGGUUUCGCUUCUGUCGGCAUUGGCGUGCACAAUACAUUUAUCAUAUAGCUCUUGUAACCUUUGGAUAGUACUGAAGUUAUGACCAAAGGCGUGUACACAAGUUGACAUGUUCAGGGCUGGAUCCAGAGUGAAAAUCUGACAGAUGCAUUUUUGCCCAGUGAUAAAAUAAAAAUCGUCUUAUUAUUCAAUCUUCA